UACACGCGUCCACUAACACACACUAUCGAAGGAUGAGAAAAGAGUGGAAUUGGGAUGGAAUUGACGGAUGAGUCUGCUCAAU
ensembl:ncRNA T24B8.22 ncRNA